UUCCAAUGAUGACUCGCCAUGCUAAUACCGAGUGCAGAGCUGGUUGACUUAACUGUCCCAGCCGCUCGAUGAGUUAAAACAUAUCUCUAGACUGAGGAAU